rnacentral:rRNA from 1 species
CCUACGGGGGGCAGCAGUGGGGGAUAUUGCACAAUGGGGGGUACCCUGAUGCAGCGACGCCGCGUGGAUGAAGAAGCGCCUCGGCGCGUAAAGCUCUGUCAGCAGGGAAGAAAAUGACGGUAUCUGAAGAAGAAGCCCCGGCUAAUUACGUGCCAGCAGCCGCGGGAAUACGGAGGGGGCAAGCGUUAUCCGGAUUUACUGGGUGUAAAGGGGGCGCAGACGGCGAUGCAAGCCAGGAGGGAAAGCCCGGGGCCCAACCCCGGGACUGCUCUUGGAACUGCGUGGCUGGAGUGCAGGAGAGGCAGGCGGAAUUCCUGGUGUAGCGGUGAAAUGCGUAGAUAUCAGGAGGAACACCGGUGGCGAAGGCAGCCUGCUGGACUGCAACUGACGUUGAGGCCCGAAAGCGUGGGGAGCAAACAGGAUUAGAUACCCUUGUAGUC